AGGCCAGGUUGGAUGGGGCUUAGAGCAACCUGGGACAGUGGAAGGUGUCCCUGCCCAUGGCAGGGGGUGGAAUGUGAUGGACUUUAAGGUCUCUGCCAACUCAAACCAGUCUGGGAUUCUAU